rnacentral:rRNA from 1 species
GACGAACGCUGGCGGCGUGCCUAAUACAUGCAAGUCGAGCGCGAGAGUGAGGAGCUUGCUCCUCAUGAUCGAGCGGCGGACGGGUGAGUAACACGUAGGCAACCUACCCUUGAGAUUGGGAUAACUACCGGAAACGGUAGCUAAUACCGGAUACGACUUUACUGCAUAAGCAGUUCAGUUCAAAGGCGGAUUUAUCUGCCGCUCAUGAAUGGGCCUGCGGUGCAUUAGCUAGUUGGUGAGGUAGUGGCUCACCAAGGCGACGAUGCAUAGCCGACCUGAGAGGGUGAUCGGCCACACUGGGACUGAGACACGGCCCAGACUCCUACGGGAGGCAGCAGUAGGGAAUCUUCCGCAAUGGACGCAAGUCUGACGGAGCAACGCCGCGUGAGUGAUGAAGGGUUUCGGCUCGUAAAACUCUGUUGUUAAGGAAGAACACUUGAGGUAGUAACUGGCCUUGAGAUGACGGUACUUAACCAGAAAGCCACGGCUAACUACGUGCCAGCCGCCGCAGUAA